UCCUUUGCAGACGACUUG
rnacentral:rRNA from 1 species